rnacentral:rRNA from 1 species
AUUGAACGCUGGCGGCAGGCCUAACACAUGCAAGUCGAGCGAGCGGCGGACGGGUGAGUAAUGUAUGGGGACUGCCCGAUAGAGGGGGAUAACUACUGGAAACGGUGGCUAAUACCGCAUACUAUCGGAUAACCCAUAUGGGAUUAGCUAGUAGGUGGGGUAAAGGCUCACCUAGGCGACGAUCUCUAGCUGGUCUGAGAGGAUGAUGAGCGAGAAUGGGAUGAAGACACGGCCCAGACUCCUACGGAGGAAGCAGGGGGGAAUUGUGCACAAUGGGCGCAAGCCUGAUGCAGCCAUGCCGCGUAUAUGAAGAAGGCCUUAGGGUUGUAAAGAACUUGCAGCGGGGAGGCGUUACCCGCAGAAGAAGCACCGGCUUACUCCGUGCCAGCCGCCGCGGUAAUUC